rnacentral:misc_RNA from 1 species
GUGGGGCAUGGGGAGCGUG